AUGCAUAUGAAUAUUAUUUAUAUGUCCAGACUUCUAGAAAUGCUCCGUUGUGAAAACAUGGACCAAACAAUCCAUCUGAAUGGGAAGCAGCAAGUCAGAUACCGUUCCACCACCGAGUACAACACUACUCCAAGACCUGCCAUGCCCCCGCCUCCCGCUCCCGCUCCCGCUCCCGCCGUCCCAUCGGUGGUUGCCUCGGGCCGUGGCAGUGUGGUGUGGCACCGGCCUUGGCCCCCGUGCCUUACGGCGAGCUCCUGCCCCGCGCUCAAGCCCUCCUGCAACCCGUCCCGUCCGACCUCUCGGCCGUGA
rnacentral:rRNA from 1 species